GUGCUAGCUUUGGCAGCACAUACACUAAAAUUGGAAUGAUACAGAGAAGAUUACCAUGGCCCCUACUCGAGGAUGACAUACAAAUUAGUGAAACAUUCCAUAUUUUA